rnacentral:lncRNA from 1 species
UGGGAUGGGGUUCCCAGUUUAGUCCCACAUCGGCUAAUCAGCGGAAAGGUCUGUGCCUUAUAAUGAGGAGGCCUAAAACCUUUCCUCACGAGGCGCCUUUUAUAGGACAAAACCGUGAGGGUAGGGGGCAACCUCCGCGGACCCCCGCGCCGUCAGGGCUCGGGACUGUCAUUGGGACUGUCAUUGGGCUCCGGCCCUGGGCGACCUCCCGCAGACCCGAAGCGGCAAUCCCAGAGCGGACAAUACCUCGGGAGGGACGCAGAUGCUUUCCCUGCUCGGCCGGUGU